rnacentral:rRNA from 1 species
AUAUGGAUUCCUACGGGAGGCAGCAGUGGGGAAUCUUGCGCAAUGGGCGAAAGCCUGACGCAGCGACGCCGCGUGGGUGAUGAAGGCCUUCGGGCUGUAAAGCCCUGUGGGGAGGGACGAAUAACGUCGACCCAAUACGUCGAUGGAUGACGGUACCUCCUUAGCAAGCACCGGCUAACUCUGUGCCAGCAGCCGCGGUAAGACAGAGGGUGCAAACGUUGUUCGGAAUUACUGGGCGUAAAGCGCGUGUAGGCGGUCGGGCAAGUCGGAUGUGAAAGCCCAGGGCUCAACCCUGGAAGUGCAUUCGAUACUGCCUGGCUAGAGUCUCGGAGAGGGUGGUGGAACUCUCGGUGUAGAGGUGAAAUUCGUAGAUAUCGAGAAGAACACCUGUGGCGAAGGCGGCCACCUGGACGAUGACUGACGCUGAGACGCGAAAGCGUGGGGAGCAAACAGGAUUAGAUACCCUGGUAGUCCACGCCGUAAACGAUGGGUGCUAGGUGUCACGGGUAUUGACCC